ACACAAAUUCAAAGAUAAAUCCUUUUCAAACCCUAAUAAAAAGACGCAUCCCCUUUUCAAACCCUUAUAAAAAGUCGAAGAUAGAGAGAGAUUCUGCACAUAUCAACGAUCUAUUCACAAACAUAGAGAGAGAUAGAUGUUGAGAAAAAUUAUUAGUUCCUGGUGGUGUAAAGCAUCUUUGUAUGUGCACGAGCCCGCUAUUCGUCGUGCCUACGAGGUUCUGAGAACGCAUCCCCAUGUCCGAGUCGUUCAUGUUUCAUCAACAAGUCUUUCUAUGAGAUUGCUCGCAGCCUCGUGGAUUGUUUUAGCUUCCACAUUACUGAUCGCAGAAGUUAUAAUCCCACGCAGAAAUAAAAUUGCACAUGAAGACGAAUUUUGGGCAAGCGUCUUGGAAAACGAUACUGUUGGUGGCGAGUCGGUGUCAAGAGGCGAGAAAGAAUUUAAGAAGAAUCAAUACUUUUCUUGAUAUAUCUAAUUUGUUUGAAUCAGGCCAACUAAUAUAUUAUUGAACAUGGUUGAAUUUGAACUCGUAUCCAUGAGCACUUUAAUGCA